UAUCUGAUGAAAUUCGAGCAACAGUUAUAGACCAUGUUCUUGUCCAUGGACUGACAAUGAGGGAAGCAGGACUUAGAGUGCAACCCAAUUUGAGCCGAUUUUCUGUGUCCACCAUAGUAAGGACAUUCAGAGAAGAGAACAGAAUUGCAAGGCUGCCACAUGCAGGUGGAAGGACAGCUAUAUUCACUCGGGAGCAAGAGGCCGUUAUAGUUGGCAUGGUCCUUCAAGAUAAUGCAAUACGACUCAGAGAAAUCCAGGAACGAGUGAUACAAGACAACACACACUUCCAGGGAAUCGACAGUGUGAGCAUUUCCACAAUUGACCGUGUCCUCCAUCGUAACAGGAUGCGAAUGAAACAAGUAUACAGAGUACCUUUUGAGCGCAACUCACCAAGGGUGAAAGAACUGCGAGCUCAGUAUGUGCAAACAAUAUUUGACUUGGAAUCCUUGGACAGACCCCAUGAGUUCAUCUUUGUCGAUGAAGCAGGCUUCAAUCUAACAAAGAGGAGAAGGAGAGGCCGAAACAUGAUUGGACAGCGGGCCAUUGUUGAAGUCCCUGGUCAACGAGGUGGCAAUGUCACAAUCUGUGCUGCUAUCAGCAACCAUGGUGUUCUACAUCACCAUGUUACACUCGGGCCAUAUAACACCCAGCACCUAAGAUUUAUUGCCAAUCUAAGAGAUAUUUUAUUUGAGCAGCAGGUUCAAGAGCAGCAGGGUCAAGAGCUAAAUGAGAAUCCCAUUCCCACCUAUGUGAUAGUGUGGGACAAUGUCAGUUUCCACCGAGCUGCUCAGGUAAGGGAAUGGUUUAACAUCAAUGGGCAGUUUAUGAACUUGUACCUCCCU